UAACGUAAACUUUUAGUCUCUCUUUUUAAUAACUAUUCCUGUUCUUAUUCUUAUUAUUCUAACAAAACCAUCUUCAUUAAUCAACAUGAGAAAGUGGUUUCAAAAAAUGUUUUUGAAGAUGCUAAUAAUAAAACAAUCUUCCAUCGGCUUCGCAAAAUGUAAAACUUUUUCGUUUGUCCAUAACCCGCCACAUGAAGAUCAUCCGUUCCUCCUUUCCAGCUCCAAGCUUCAUUGAGAUAGUUGAUUAAAGUUGGCUUAUUCGAUUGCCAUUUUUUGGGGGUUUUAGAUACUGCAACUCCCAAGAUUGUUGAAGAUUGGCAAUUUUUUUUUUAUUUUUUUUUGGAAACAUGGUUGAAAGUUAUUGUAGCAUUUUGUUUGUGUUUUGUAGGUUGUUGAAUAUUGGCAUUAUUUUUUUUUAAAGAGAUGGUUGAAAGUUAUUGU